rnacentral:rRNA from 1 species
UACGAAGGGUGCAAACGUUGCUCGGAAUCAUUGGGCGUAAAGCGCACGUAGGCGGCCUUGCAAGUCGGAUGUGAAAUCCCACGGCUCAACCGUGGACGUGCAUCCGAAACUGCUCGGCUCGAGUAUGGAAGAGGGUCGCGGAAUUCCCGGUGUAGAGGUGAAAUUCGUAGAUAUCGGGAGGAACACCAGUGGCGAAGGCGGCGACCUGGGCCAAUACUGACGCUGAGGUGCGAAAGCGUGGGGAUCAAACAGG